UGUAAACGCAUUAUGCUUUUACGCAUGUGAAAAAGUUUGUAGCUUUGAGGUCUGGAUUAUAGAUUAUUCCGGAUUAUGGACGUCCGGAUUAAAGACUUUUGACUGUAUGUGUGAAAUCCACCUAAUCAAAAAAGUCAUUUAAACAUUCAUAAUACACAUUGAAUGUUUCAUAUUCGUAUUCACACUUUAGAGAAAAUCUUUGUGUGUGUUACAUAAAUAAUCAUUCAUUUUCAUAAAGAGGAUUUAAAUAUGGAUGGAAACAUAGGAGAGAACUGUUAUGAGUUACUUAUGUAACAAUCCAUUUAGAGUGAUGAAGAAAAUGUAUGGUUGAUCUACACAGAAAAGAAGUCUCCAGUAUUUUCAGCAUAUGUUAGAAACAACUUUUACUUACUUUUGGAGUAAGUACUUCUCUGUGCAGCUAGAAAAUGUCAUUUGAGGCCAUGUCUGUAUUUUCUAACCAGCUGACAGAGCCAAUAAUUUAGAUAUAGCAAAUUUCUUAGAACCUUGUCUGUGCAGCUAGAAAAUGUCGAGGUCAUUUCUGUAUUUUUCUCACCAGCUGGCAGAAUAAUUUGUAUACAGCAAAUUUCUUAGAAUUUAGAAAGGCAAGUCUGAAUAGCAUAAACCCUACUUGUUACUCUGUGGAAGGAACAUAGAUUCUCAUUUGAUGAAAAUAAAUUAUAAACCAUUUAUUUGUUUCUAAAAGAUGAAAUCUUUUUCAAGAUAUUUUUACAUGAUAAUAAGUGUUUAUAACUGCUGCAUAAUAAAUUCUGGAUAAGAACUUCAAAAACUGAAAUUCUAAAAGGUGCCUAAAUGUUUCAUGCAAUACAUAUGCUGUAAAUCAUAUGUAUUUUGCAUUAAACUUAACUGUUUCUGAAUUUCACACACAAAUUACAGCUGUCACGAUACAGAUAGCAAUACCAUUCUUGGUGCUUGUCAAGAAAACUGUAUUAGGUAUUUCUACUCGUCAUGAACAAGUAUGGAGGCUAUGCAUAUUUGGCUCCAGAAUCAAAUGUGGCAGUGUAUAAAAUUUGCAAAAUCAGUACACCAUAGCAAUACUAGAAAGGCGAAAUGAAAUUGAAAAUCCCAAGUGUGUAUAUUGUAUAAGAAGGAAUUUGGGAAACAUCAUUUCUCUGCAGAUAGUUAAUGCUUCCUGUAAAAGUGCAGAAUAGGUUGCAUCAACAAAGUUUAGUAUGCGGAGCUGUGUGACGUCCAUAAAUGGGUGGGACUAAGCUUAUGACGUCACGAUUUUGAAAGAAAUGGCAUUGUGGUGAUUAGUAUAAAAGCGUAGUUCAGCUAAAGUUUCACAAGAACAAAAGUCAUGCAGUGUGAAACAUUUGAAGAUUAUAUAUGAGAAUCUCCUUGCAAAAGCAGCAUUUUUUAAUACGCUCCUUAGAUAAUUCACGCAUGCAUGCAAAUUAUUUAUUCCAUGUAACAUUUUCAUGAGAGUAAAUAAGCACAUGUAUUGCUAAAUGACCUUUGAAUUUAAAUGAACUGCUAUAUUUAGCAGAUGUUUAUAAUUUAUCACCAGUGUGGGUAAAAAUGUGUUUGAUUCUAACACACAUUUAACUGUAAAUAUGUAGUUACAAAUAUCACAUUCAUGUCAUUUUUCAUUGUUAUUGGAUAAGUAUUUGUCUCUUUAAUGCACUUGUUUGUGCGGAUGAUUUACAAACAUUGCAUUAAUGUAGUUUGUCUGCAGUGUGUGUAAACAAUUUUAUUUUAAUGAUGCCUGCAUGCAAAUAAUUUAUCACAUAUAACUUGUUCGUGUGUGAUUAAGAUGUAUAUUUAAAUAUGACUUUUGAGUAGAAAUGGCAUGAGCACACUGAUGUUGUGUCUUACUUGUGUGGAAAGCAAUAUGUGGCUUUAACACACUUGCAUGUGCAAAUAAUUUACUAUAUAUACCAAUCUUAUGAUUUCUUAUCUCAUUUCUUAUGCAUGUCUUUCUGGAGUGCAUUCCAAUGAAACUGGCAUUUAUGUAUAUAAGUAAAGUUCAGAUUUAUUGCAUAAAAAUGCAAACCUGAAAAAACAACUUUACUAUCCAAAUAAAAAUUAGGACCACAUUGUUUAGAAUUUGAAGAUUUGGUAGAAAAAUGUUCAUAAAAAAAUUAUUUUGGAAUUUUUUUUGAUAAACUUAUUCCUAUUUAUCUCAAAUCCACAACCAAAACAAACAAAAAUUAAAUAACCUUAGUAAAUAUCAGUGUGUUGAAAUAUAAAAAAUUGACUGUGUUUUUGGAAUGUGAGGCAUCCAGUUUAUACACUUGGUAUUUGAAGAAGUCAUCCAGCUGUAUUCAAGCAUUUUGCAUUGAAUGAUCAAUAUAAGUGUUCUUUUAAUUAACUUGUAAAUUGGAAUUUUUAAGACUGAGCAUUGAUGAUUAUUUUCAAACAUCACUUAUCUCUAGUAUUUUGUGAUUUGUUUUAAUUUAAAAAUGUUUUCUUCUAUUACAUACACUUUUUUUUUUUUUUUUCUGUUGCUGUGAAAAGUAAAACAUAUCAUUAGAAAAGACAUUUUGUCUUUAUAGGAUAAUUUGUGAAUCCUUUUUUCAAAUCUUCAUAGCUCUCUACUGGAUGGGUAAUUUUUGACAUGAAUUAAACAUAGGCCUUUUCACUCAUACUGACGGUUCUCUCUUUUGUAUUUAAUACAAAUAACUUCAAAUGUAUAUCUUUUCUUUCUAAUAGGAGCUUAAAAUAUGCCCCGUUAAACAAAUAACUUGCAUUUCUCACAUGUAAUUUUUUUUUAUGUGAAGGGGAGGUCCAAAUUGAAAUACAGAUCACCUAGGUAGUGACCAGGUUACAUAAAGCUAUACUGUAUUUACUUGCAUGUUCUCCCCCCCUCCCCAGGUUUUAUUUUUUCAGAAUAUGAUUUAAAGACUUCUGAUUGAUAGUAACAAUGUAAAAUGACAUAAAAGACUCGUGUUCAAAAAAAAUAAGCAACAGACUCCAAAAGAAAAGGUACGAAUGUAAAGAGGGAAAUUAAAAUAUACAGUUCACACAUGAGGUAAACAUUGCAUCACAGGAGGCAAAUAGAACAACCAAAAUUAGCAUAAAACGCAAUUCUGGGGUCAUACCAAAAUUACUAAAAAAGAGGAGGUAUUCUGGACCUAUGCGUCAGCUUGCAAGCGGUGAUACCAUUACCAUUAUCUUAGCUGCAUGUCCAGCUUCAGCCUUGCGGCUUUAAUGUGAUCAUCUUGAAAAAUUGAGUCGCAGGUACUUUGGAUAAAAAGGACGAAGCACAGAGCCACCUAAAAGCCGAAGAUUAAUCAUAAAAAAUCAUUAUGAGAUGAUAAGUAGUCAUUGCUUAAAUUUAAAAUUGCAGUUGAGAAUGAUAUAUAAAAUCUCCGAUAGUAAGACUUUGCAUUAUUUACAAAAACAUAAGGCAGAAAUAAAAGAAUCUUGGAUAGUUAGUUGUACAAAUAAGCUUGUUUAAAUAUGCAUAAAUAAAAAUAUGAUACAAAUCAGAGAAAAAGUGGGACCUCAAACUCUGGAUCUGACAAUUCGGAGGUGAGAACUUAAUGUGCUGUGCUAAGAGAGUGUGGAGGAAAAUUGAAAAUUCAGGGUAGUCAUUCGGACUUUAGGUUCAGUUACAAUGUACAGUGAGAGGUCGUUUCUACCUCUGCAUAUCUGUGUGGUCGUAAUUUAACCCCUUCGAGCCGGGUAGCGAAAACGCACGCUUAUCGCGGAGGCCGGCAGUGUCUUCCGCGAGCGUCUCUCCAGGGCCGGGGUUUUUUUGCUACUAAACCUAAAUCCAUGA
rnacentral:lncRNA from 1 species